rnacentral:rRNA from 1 species
UACGAAGGGAGCUAGCGUUGUUCGGAAUCACUGGGCGUAAAGCGCACGUAGGCGGGUUCUUAAGUCAGGGGUGAAAUCCCGAGGCUCAACCUCGGAACUGCCUUUGAUACUGGGAAUCUUGAGUUCGGGAGAGGUGAGUGGAAUUGCGAGUGUAGAGGUGAAAUUCGUAGAUAUUCGCAAGAACACCAGUGGCGAAGGCGGCUCACUGGCCCGAUACUGACGCUGAGGUGCGAAAGCGUGGGGAGCAAACAGG